rnacentral:rRNA from 1 species
UACAGAGGGUGCAAGCGUUGUUCGGAAUUACUGGCGUAAGACGCACGUAGGCGGCUUUGCAAGUUAGAGGUGAAAGCCCGGGGCUCAACUCCGGAAUUGCCUUUAAAACUGCAUCGCUAGAAUUGUGGAGAGGUAAGUGGAAUUCCGAGUGUAGAGGUGAAAUUCGUAGAUAUUCGGAAGAACACCAGUGGCGAAGGCGACUUACUGGACACAUAUUGACGCUGAGGUGCGAAAGCGUGGGGAGCAAACAGG